rnacentral:lncRNA from 1 species
UCUGCUUAAUCCUAUGGCUGCUCUUUAAUAUGUUCUAAAACCGCCAACCCUUGUUCUUACUUAUUCAUCGGCGGAGGAUAGAGCUUUUAUUUAUUGUUCUGCUUUCCUAUGAUAUGGAUUUGGUUGAUUCUCCUGUGGUAUCGACUGCCUUUGUUCGGCUGAGACUUCCGCGUCUGCGGAUUCUCUAGUAGCUGCUCUAGCGUCUGCUUCGUCGGGUGCUGAAUCGGAUGCUUUAUCUGCGCGGUUUGAAACUAUUUGGAAAAUAAAAUGCUUUGCCCAGGAAUUCUAGGUUGAA